rnacentral:lncRNA from 10 species
GUCUGACUCCCUGCUCCUGGCUGUGAGAUGCACCUCUCCCUCUGUUUAUUCAUCUAAAGGAUAGGGCUGUGCUGUUCUGGAGUUGCUGUGACAACUGAAAUGGCCUGUAUGAGUUGGUGGUGGCCUCCUGAGAUGGCUUGAGGUGAGCUGGAGGUGUGUAUUGAAUGCCCCCUCGCACCCACGGGGAAGACCCACUUAAGGAAGACUCACAUGUCUGUAUGGAGGAAUACAGGUUCCCUGCCCCUCAGCUGUCCUCUGUCCCUUCCCAGCCCCCUCUAUUGUCCUGCAGACUCCGGCGGUGGCCAUCCAGCUUGGUGGCCAUCUGACUGAUCCACUCUUCCAGGUGGACCCUCUCUCCUCACGUGGUGCAGGUCCCAUUGCACCACCUCCAGACAGGCCAUACUAGCCCACAGGGCCUCCUUUCUCUGCUACCCAGCCCCAACCCCCAGGUAUGUGCCACCUCCCUAAAGCCUGCUGUGUUCACCAGCUGUGUUUGAACUCAGUCUCUGUGCAAGGCCUCAUGCAAAGGCUGAAUCAGCCUGGCUUGUAGAGGGCCAGGAGACCAAAGCUCAAAGAGAGAGUAACGGUCUCCCAGAGUCCACUUAGCCUCAGCCCCAGAGCUGCGUCCGUGCUGUUCCUGGCUCCAGUGAUCCAGUUCUCCCCCGUGACGCCUGUAAGGGCUCCUGUGGUGAUGGAGGUGGAUAGAGAGAACAGGCUGCCAUAACCGUCCCUCUUUGAGAAGGCCCAAGGAGGAAUGUUUUAGGCAUCAGGGCAUCCCGGGGAGCAUCUUCCAGGGACCCCUCCUACACCCUGCCCCGCUCUGGCUCUCUAGUGAGAAAUUGCAGUUGCUUGGACAGCGGGGCUGACCCAGGACAAGUGCAUCUAUUAGGCUGGUCAUUGGGGUGCUGGGGUGGGGGCAAGGGUGCUUCAGGGAUAGGAAGGAGUGGCCUAUGUGUUCCAGAAGUACAGAGGAACCUGGUGCCAGCCACAGUCAAGCCCGAUGUGAUGAUCUUUCUACCCACCCUCUUUGAUGUCUUGAUUCUGGCUGAUGUCCUUGGCCAGGUAUACAAAAUGUGCCUAGGAGGACUCUGCUUUAUAUCCAUUGAAAGUGAGAAGUAAUAGAGGAAGAUUUUGUCUGGCUAGAGGCUGUGAAAGAAUGGAGUAUUCUGGUUUAAUUCUAUUAACUUGGAAGUAUGAAGGUGAAAAAAAUUCAAAACUUAUAUUUCCUGUUGAUUGCAAUUUGAAAAUAUAGCCAAUGAUUCCACUUUUCUUCUCUAGUAAGUUUGGACAUUCCCAUCUACUUGGUGUUUUAUUAUGGAACUGCUAGUGUGCCUGU